UACGUAGGGGGCAAGCGUUGUCCGGAAUCAUUGGGCGUAAAGAGCGUGUAGGCGGCCAGAAAAGUCCGCUGUGAAAACUCGAGGCUCAACUUCGAGCUGUCGGUGGAAACUUUCUGGCUAGAGUCCGGAAGAGGAGAAUGGAAUUCCUGGUGUAGCGGUGAAAUGCGCAGAUAUCAGGAAGAACACCCGUGGCGAAGGCGGUUCUCUGGGACGGUACUGACGCUGGAGACGCGAAAGCAUGGGGAGCGAACAGG
rnacentral:rRNA from 1 species